rnacentral:tRNA from 1 species
AAAAAGGUAAGCUAAUUUAAGCUAAUGGGUUCAUACCCCAUUUAUAGAGGUACUAGUCCUCUCCUUUUUA